rnacentral:rRNA from 1 species
UACGUAGGGUGCGAGCGUUAAUCGGAAUUACUGGGCGUAAAGCGUGUGUAGGCGGCUCUGCAAGUCGGACGUGAAAGCCCCGGGCUCAACCUGGGAAUUGCGAUGAAGACUGCAAGGCUUGAAUCUGGCAGAGGGGGGUAGAAUUCCACGUGUAGCAGUGAAAUGCGUAGAGAUGUGGAGGAACACCGAUGGCGAAGGCAGCCCCCUGGGUCAAGAUUGACGCUCAUGCACGAAAGCGUGGGGAGCAAACAGG